CACGUAGGGGCGAGCGUUGUCCGGAAUUACUGGGCGGUAAAGGGCGCGCAGGCUGUUAUGCGAGUCUGCUGUGAAAUGUACCGGCUCAACCGGUGCCUUGCGGCGGAUACUGCAUAGCUGGAGUACUGGAGAGGGAAGUGGAAUUCCCGGUGUAGCGGUGAAAUGCGUAGAUAUUGGGAAGAACACCGGUGGCGAAGGCGACUUGCUGGGCAGCAAACUGACGCUGAGGCGCGAAAGCCAGGGGAGCAAACGGGAUUAGAUA
rnacentral:rRNA from 1 species